rnacentral:tRNA from 1 species
UAGUAAAGUCAGCUAACAAAGCU